rnacentral:rRNA from 1 species
GACGAACGCUGGCGGCGUGCCUAAUACAUGCAAGUCGAACGCUUCUUUCCUCCCGAGUGCUUGCACUCAAUUGGAAAGAGGAGUGGCGGACGGGUGAGUAACACGUGGGUAACCUACCCAUCAGAGGGGGAUAACACUUGGAAACAGGUGCUAAUACCGCAUAACAGUUUAUGCCGCAUGGCAUAAGAGUUAAAGGCGCUUUCGGGUGUCGUUGAUUGAUGGACCCGCGGUGCAUUAGCUAGUUGGUGAGGUAACGGCUCACCAAGGCCACGAUGCAUAGCCGACCUGAGAGGGUGAUCGGCCACACGGGGACUGAGACACGGCCCAGACUCCUACGGGAGGCAGCAGUAGGGAAUCUUCGGCAAUGGACGAAAGUCUGACCGAGCAACGCCGCGUGAGUGAAGAAGGUUUUCGGAUCGUAAAACUCUGUUGUUAGAGAAGAACAAGGACGUUAGUAACUGAACGUCCCCUGACGGUAUCUAACCAGAAAGCCACGGCUAACUACGUG